rnacentral:lncRNA from 1 species
CAAUGUGUAAAUUAAGCUUCUCCAAGUGCCAUUGUUAUGGAAACUGUGGCCUUCAAAUGAAGCUAUUGCACAGGAGUGCAGGAAUCUGAGCCCAGGAGCAGCUCUGGCCUGUGCUGAAUUCUUUUCUGUCAUCUGUAAAUAAUGUAUCCUAGAUAGACUUCAAAAGAUUUUAAUUAAAUGGUUAUUCUAAAGGUGUUUAUAUGUAUCAAAAAUCUACAAGACUGCAGAUAUGUUUUUUUCUAACCAAGGCUAGGCCUGAGCACUGAGUGAGCUCCCAUCUGGAAUCCAGUUUGACACAGAAUGGCAAGUGGACAUAAUUGAGAGCUCCUCUUUAAGAACACUCCUAUUCCAAGCUGAAGUAUCAGGGCAGAAUUUUCCAUUUAUCUCCUUUCAGCAGCCAUGCUCUCUUCACCUUAAAAAGAAGCUCUUGAAAUUAAAU